rnacentral:rRNA from 1 species
UACGUAGGUGGCAAGCGUUGUUCGGAAUUAUUGGGCGUAAAGGGCGCGUAGGCGGCAAUUCAAGUCAUCUGUGAAAUCUCCGGGCUUAACUCGGAACGGUCAGAUGAUACUGCUUUGCUCGAGUGCGGAAGGGGCAAUCGGAAUUCUUGGUGUAGCGGUGAAAUGCGUAGAUAUCAAGAGGAACACCUAUGGCGAAGGCAGCUCGCUGGGACGGUACUGACGCUGAGACGCGAAAGCGUGGGGAGCAAACAGG